UAACACUUGACUUUCCAUCUUAUUUUAUCCAACGUACAUAUUUUUUAGUCUGAUAAAACACCUCAGCAGUCUAGCUACAGUACUUAUUAGCUGCUCUGGUUUUGGAAAGGUUCAAAAUAUACAGCUUUUCAUACUGAGUUGAUUUGUGUCCCUGUUUAUAAUGUACAAUGGCUCUGCAGACCACCUAGUUUUUGUUUAGUUUGUUUGUAAUGAUUCUAGUUUAGCAAAACUAAUCUCGCAAAGCUCACUAUGUUCAUACUCGAUUCAUUUGGGCGAACGGACGGCAUCUGAAGACAGUUUUGGGCUCCCUGUGGCUACAGUAGCCAUCUUGGAAGUGAAAACCUCCCAUCCCCUCCCCCCAUGAACAAUUAUUAUUCUGUGCGUGUUCAAACUUGACUCAUUUGGGUGAACGGACGGCAUUUGUGGACAGUUUUGGGCUCCCUGUGGCUACAGUUGCCAUCUUGAAAGUGAAGACCUCCCACCCCCUCCCCCCAUGAACAAUUAUUAUUCUAUGCUUGUUCAUACUCGAUUCAUUUGGGCGAACGGACGGCAUUUGUGGACAGUUUUGGGCUCCCUGUUAAAGUCAGUGUAGCGUGGCUCGCGGCACGUCUUCAUUUAGCGGCAUUUUUCGAUGAUCAGAGCUUCUUUGACUACACAAACAUGGCGAAAUUACAAGAUUAUUUGCUGCAAUCUUGAAAUAUAAUGGCAAAUAAAAGCGAACUACAGCAAGCUGCAAGAUUAUGUACAGCGUACAUAGCAUCAUUGAAAUGAGCAAUCACAAAAACUUCUUGCCAGGAUUGGAAACUAUGAACAUUUGAUCUGUAAACAUAUGACAUUGCAUGGUGAUGGUCUGGGAGAUAAAUUAUAUCAAAUACAAGACUAAUCAUAUGAGAGAAAAACUCCAAAGUCCUUCAAACAAGAGCAUGGCCAUGUGGAAGUGAACUACAGCAAGCUGAAACAUUGCUGGAAAAGUGAGAUUGAGAAAUGGUGUCUUCAAUGUAUAAACAAUGAUAAACAAGGGUGUUACAUUAUCAGUCAAAGUGAUAGUAAAGAUACUUUAUAUCUUAGAAAUUCUGCAUCAUAUCCAUUCCGCAAGCUAAACUACUAUUUAGAAUGCUGUGCCAACUGCAAAAUUAUGUACAGCAUGUAACACUGUUUGACAAUCAUAGACAAGUUAUAAAUCAACAAUCACAAAAACUCCUUGAUUGGAAGCUAUGAACAUUCGAUUUGUAAAAAUAUGACAUUGCAUGGUUUAGGCAGAAGUGAAAACUUUAGGGUUAAUCCUUGGGCCCAGGGUCUUCCCCUCAUACCCCCCUUGCCCCUGGGGGUAGGGGAGGGUGUGACCCUGCGAACGAGGAUGGGUCGGGGUUCGGGUUUUCACAAAGGCAACUUCAAGCUGACCACAGGUAGCCCAAGCAUAUGGUUUGUGCGAAAUAACAAAGAGAAUGGUAUAUGGAAAACGAAAUAUAUCCAUCCUGAAGA